AACAACAACCCAGUGAAAUCCACAUCGUGGGGUCUGGGGAGGGUAGAGUGUACGCAGACCUUACUCCUACCAAGGUAGGACGGCUGUUUCCGAAAGACCCUCGGCUCAAUAAAAGCAUAAAAAGAAGUCAGAUAAGGUUAAGAGAAUCAAAGCGAUAUAAAAUGAAAUAAUGCAAGCGACACAGAUAACACAGGGUAAUCAAAUGUUACGCCCCGUAUUUUUAUACAUUGGGACAACCCGGAUUAAUUAUGAUAAUUUAGAGCCAAGACUAUUCCGGGAUUCGAAGUCGGGACUUUUGACCUUUGAUUUUAUUUCGAGGCAUAAGUUAUAUAUGGAAUUAUUGGCAUUGAACACUUAGGAAAAAUUUGGGACCACAAUUCAUAAAUUGGAAUUAAAAUGUUGUGCAAAAAAAUAAAAAAUAAAAAAUAAAUUCCUUGGUGGCCAUGUAAAUGGGAAUUGGUCCCACACAUUAUGUGGCCAAUUUUAAUUGGUCCACUCCAUGUGUGGGCCAAGGACACUUGGACAACAACUAUAUGAGCCUAAAGUAUGACCAAGUAGUCAUCUUUUCCCCAUUGCAAGACUUAGAAAAAAAAAUCAAGGAGUUGAAGACCACCUUCAACACCCCUCUCGGCUACAAACCAAGAAAAACCAAAUCCAAAUCAAGCCACCCCAAAAUUAUUUCCUUGGUAUAAAUCAACUAUUUAGAAGUCCCUAAGUAACGUGGAAGAGUUGUUUGGGUCAUCCAACCACUAGUUGUGCCCAAUUGCAAACCCUAACUAUUGAAGGAAGUGAAGAAGGAAGACCUUGGGCAGCCCGAAUCAUAGUUUGGACUUAGCUUGAGUUGGAUCAUAUUGGAGAGCGUUUGAGGUACAGACGCACAGCCUGGUGAUCCACCUGUUUAGGACACCCUUUCUGCUAUUCGGAGUGCUCCUCUCUUUCCGGAGCUUAUACUUUUGGUAUAUAUAUUUAUUAGUGCAUUUGUAUAUAUUCGUUCAUGGGUACGGCGGGGCCCUGUCCCGUCAUAUGAUUCUGUCGGUCUGUUUAGAGGUCUGUGGACAUGUUUGUGGGUUAGGGUCUUUCUGUAUGAAUGUAUGUACAUGUCGUUUGGGCGAUCCCAUACGCCGAGGCGGCCGGUCCGCAUAUGUUGUUUGGGCGACCCUAUACGCCGAGGCGGCCGGUCCGCAUAUGUUUAUAUAUUGCUUGGUUAGCCCUGUGUGGCUUUCGUUGGUAUUUUCUGCGUGCAGGGUAUAUUGGAUAGUCCGUAAAACAAAGGAAACUC